rnacentral:rRNA from 1 species
UACGUAGGGCGCGAGCGUUGUCCGGAAUUAUUGGGCGUAAAGAGCUCGUAGGCGGCCUGUUGCGUCUGCUGUGAAAUCCCGGGGCUUAACCCCGGGCGUGCAGUGGAUACGGGCAGGCUGGAGGCAGGCAGGGGAGAACGGAAUUCCCGGUGUAGCGGUGAAAUGCGCAGAUAUCGGGAGGAACACCGGUGGCGAAGGCGGUUCUCUGGAACGCAACUGACGCUGAGACGCGAAAGCGUGGGGAGCAAACAGG